UACGUAGGGGGCAAGCGUUGUCCGGAUUUAUUGGGCGUAAAGGGCGCGUAGGCGGCGCAACAAGUCACUUGUGAAAUCUCCGGGCUUAACUCGGAACGGUCAAGUGAUACUGUCGGACUAGAGUACAGAAGGGGCAACUGGAAUUCUCGGUGUAGCGGUGAAAUGCGUAGAUAUCGAGAGGAACACCUGCGGCGAAGGCGGGUUGCUGGGCUGAUACUGACGCUGAGGCGCGAAAGCCAGGGGAGCGAACGGG
rnacentral:rRNA from 1 species